GGGGUAGUAAAGGUUUCGACAGGGUAUUGGAAGUUGGAGAAGCAAGCCGUAGGAUGAUGCGUUAAAUCUCACAAUAAAUAUAAACGCUGAAGAUAAUUUAGCACUCGCUGCCUAAUGGCAGCAGUCCGCUCCGGAGCACUCACACUCCGGAAUCCGGGCUUCAAUAAUGUGAGAAACGACACAUGCAAAGCUUUGAGCAUGCGGGCGUAUUUAUGAAGCUACUGAAGCAGUGACCAUGCCGCUUUGGGCACUGUGGAGGGAAUGUAAAUAAGCGGAUAAGCUUGUAGAAGGACGAUGGAAGGUGCUUUGGACGCGGGUUCGAUUCCCGCCUACUCCAGUA
rnacentral:tmRNA from 1 species